rnacentral:rRNA from 1 species
UACAGAGGUCCCGAGCGUUGUUCGGAUUCACUGGGCGUAAAGGGUGCGUAGGUGGUGAGGUAAGUCGGAUGUGAAAUCUCCGAGCUCAACUCGGAAAUGGCGUUGGAAACUACCUUGCUUGAGGGUUGGAGGGGGGACUGGAAUACUUGGUGUAGCAGUGAAAUGCGUAGAUAUCAAGUGGAACACCAGUGGCGAAGGCGAGUCCCUGGACAGCUCCUGACACUGAGGCACGAAAGCUAGGGGAGCAAACAGG